rnacentral:rRNA from 1 species
GAUGAACGCUGGCGGCGUGCCUAAUACAUGCAAGUCGAGCGAACAGACGAGGAGCUUGCUCCUCUGACGUUAGCGGCGGACGGGUGAGUAACACGUGGAUAACCUACCUAUAAGACUGGGAUAACUUCGGGAAACCGGAGCUAAUACCGGAUAAUAUAUUGAACCGCAUGGUUCAAUAGUGAAAUACGGUUUUGCUGUCACUUAUAGAUGGAUCCGCGCCGCAUUAGCUAGUUGGUAAGGUAACGGCUUACCAAGGCGACGAUGCGUAGCCGACCUGAGAGGGUGACCGGCCACACUGGAACUGAGACACGGUCCAGACUCCUACGGGAGGCAGCAGUGGGGAAUCUUCGGCAAUGGGCGAAAGCCUGACGGAGCAACGCCGCGUGAGUGAUGAAGGUCUUCGGAUCGUAAAACUCUGUUGUCAGGGAAGAAAAAAUGCGUAAUAAACUAUGCGCCUCUUGACGGUACCUGAUGAGAAAGCCCCGGCUAACUACGUG